rnacentral:lncRNA from 1 species
AUCAGAUCGGUCCUCCUCCUCCAGCUCUGAGGUCAUUCAGAGAAAGCUGAGGAUAAAAUGCAGCUACUCCCUCUGGAGCAGGCGGCACACGGUGUUCUUGUGCCUGAUAAAUGUACCAAGAACUUCAUUAUCUGAUGAGGAAGGCUCCCGGGCCGCCCACGCCUGCUGCCAAGCCAGCCGAGGGCGUUGCUGCAGGUGGGAAGCAGCGUGGGACGGCUGGGCCCGCCUCCUUGAGCCAAAGCCCCUAAUGAGGCCAGCUCAGGAAGAUUCCUCUGGACCAGUCUCAGCCUCAGCAGGAGGGACGGACAGGGACUUUGGACAAGACUGAGGCUCUGAGAGGUUGUGGAGGUGUCACCCAGCUGGAUAAGGGUCAGAAAUAAGAUGGAAAGUAUUCCGAUCUCUGUAAUGACAAUACCCAGCACUUACACAGAACCUUCUACGGGACCCGCACGGCACAUCUAUUCACUCAUUCAAUCCUCCAGCAACCCACGAGGGCAGGACUGUCGCUGUCUUGGUGCCACACGCGAGGAAACUGAGGCACAGAGAAAGAAGCUCGCCAAAGAUAAGGAAAUGGAGAGCUCUGAGAUAUCACAGGGAGCAAGUGGCAGCCAGGAUUGCCAUCCAGAGCUAUUGAGCUCCAAACUCCACACUCUCCCAGUAUAUGGUGCUGCCACUCUACUGUUGCAUGCUGGAGUGCUCACAGGGAAGAAACAUAAAGAGGAGGGAGCUUGUGUCAAAGGGAAGAACCAUCAUGAAGACCCUCAAGGAGGUGUCCCACAGAUCAGUGACCUGUGUCAGAUGUUGUCGGGCCAGGCGCUGUGGACGCUGAGGUGCUGAGGCUGCGGGCUGGAUCCGCCAAUGUGGCCACCAUCGGUGCCUCCCCAGGCCUUGGUUUCAUCUGAUUUUUAUUUUAUGUUUUAUUGUUUCAGUCUUCUGAUGCUGAUGUUCUCACACCUGGGAAAGGAGGGGGAAAAGAGUCCCAACAGAGGAAGAGGGAAGGGGAAGAAGAGAUUGAGGACAGCCAGGUCGGGGGCGGGAAUGUGUAAAAAGAAAGGGCUCUACAGGGCCUGGGGAACCCCUGACCCUGAGGCAGACGUGCAGGGGCACCUGCAGGUGGAAGGCCACACGGCACCGUGCAGGAGGCUGGCCGGCCAAGCGGGCAGAGGAAUCCUCAGCUGACGCUCGGAACAAUCGCUCCUGAACAGCGGACCUGGCCCAACCCCUGGCCCUCCCCUCAACUCCUUGACUCCGGGAGACCGGUCCAGGAGGAGGCUCUUUUCUGUUACUCUCUCUGCCCCGUGGUUGCCUUGGCAACAGCUGUGAUGGGCCCCUCCCUUCCAAAGCACCCGCUGUAAUGCGAAUCUCAGGCUGGUUUGUUCUGCUCCGCGGGCUUUGAAAACAAUAGAGGGAACCCGGGGCAGCAGCUCUGGUUUCAGAACCUGUCCCCAAGGACAGCCCCCCUCCCAGGACGGGGAAGGAACAGGAUCUGGGAGGAAAGGUGAAGAGGGGGCCACAGAGCAGCUCAGCUAGGAGAGGAGCAGCCAGAGGAGUGGGGACUGUGGGACUUUUCUAUUAUACCCUUUGGAGCAGUGGGCUGGAUGACAGCCCACAGUGGGACCCAUCUGUAGUUGAUUAAAUAAUAGUAACUGAAGAGAGUGUCUUUGCUUCAUCCUGUCCCUUCACUGUUUAAAUGUGUGACUCGAACGAGAACAGGCUGAUCAAACUCACAGAUGACAAAGCUGUGAGGAGGCGCUCAGGUGCUCCAGAAGACUGACCUGGAAUCCAUAAAGGGGACUCAGUCCGGUUGGUAUAACGGGCCAAAACCUACACUGUUAAGAAAGACAUCACAGGGGAAAUUUGGCUGCACAGAAAUUGUCUUGAGGGUCGUAACCACUCUGAAACCCUGUGCGAGCCAAUGGGACAUGACACCCUAGAAAGCAGAUGCCACUGGGACACACUGUAUGCUUGUUUGUCACCUGCUCCCCUACACCUGUAGCUGGGAACCCCUCAGGCAAAGCAUGCAGGUCUCAGAAGUAGAGGUGGCUGAUGCCAUCUGAAUUCAGGUUCCAGUGUUGUGUUUAGAAUGUAAGUAUGUAAUUGUGUGACUCAGGAGCUGUUUAAUGUUGUGGUUAAGAGCAAGAAUUCUGGAGCCCAACUAGCCCAGGUUUGAACCCAACUCUAGUAUUUACAAGCAGUGUGUCCUUGAGGAAGUUGCUUAAGCUCUCUGUGCGUCACUUGCCUCAUCUACACAACGGAGGUAAUAACACGACCUAUCUCCGAGGGUUCCAGCGAGGAUUGGGUGGGUGACUCUAGAUAAAGUGCUUAGAGGAGUGCUUGGCACAGAGGAAAUGCUUUUAAAUGGUUUCACCUGGUGUUAGUGACUCAGCUGUGUGCUUUUAGAAGCAUGCUGAGUUAUUUUCGCCGCAGGGCCCUAGACUCUGAAUGCCUUGCAGCCUCGAUAUGUUUGGACAGCUCAACCUCCAAACUGCUAGUCACCCCAGGUAUGGUCAGGCUGUGCCCGGCCACUCCCAAUAGGGGUGAGGUCCACACCCAGGUAGCCCUGUCCAUUAGAGGGACCGAUGACCCUCUCCCCAGGACAGCCAGAGGCUACAAGCCCCCAGCCCACAUUGCUGCCCUUGGUCGGACCCACUAAUGAAAGGGCUGUCCCUCCUCUGCCGUACCACAGGGACCCUCUCAUCUGAGGACCCCUUGCUGCUGAGAAAGCACAGCUUCCACUCCAGCUCCACGCCUGGCUGUGCUGCAUAGGGGAAGCCAGUAUCCUUUGCGCCCUUCUCUAGCUAGGGCUCUCUCUCCUUCUCCACUGGGUCUUGGGAGGAAUGGAGAGACCGUCAUCCAGUGGGGAUGUAACAUUAUGUAAACGCCUGUUCUUGCACCGUCCCUGGAAGAUCCGUCUGUAAUCAGCCCCGCACACCAGUUUGGAC